GCCUGGCUGGCUCAGUUGGUAGAGCAUGAGACUUUUGACCUCAGGGUCAUGAGUUCAAGCCCCAUGCUGGGUG
rnacentral:tRNA from 1 species